UAAUGUGUCUGGGUCAGAUACUUAUCUAGUAAUGUCAGGUCAUCACCUGAAUGGUCAGAACCGCUUGUGUCUACAAGUCCGGCUACAUCAAAUUGUUAGAAAUAAAACAAAUUAGUAUUUGAACCUUUC
rnacentral:pre_miRNA from 1 species